rnacentral:rRNA from 1 species
AGAGUUCGAUCCUGGCUCAGGACGAACGCUGGCGGCGUGCCUAACACAUGCAAGUCGAGCGAAUGAAGUUCCUUCGGGAACGGAUUUAGCGGCGGACGGGUGAGUAACACGUGAGCAACCUGCCUUUUGCUGGGGAAUAACUGUGGGAAACCAUGGCUAAUACCGCAUAUUGUACUGACUGGGCAUCCGGUCGGUAUGAAAGGAGAAAUCCGGCAGAAGAUGGGCUCGCGUCCGAUUAGCUAGUUGGUAGGGUAAAGGCUUACCAAGGCUUUGAUGGGUAUCCGGCCUGAGAGGGUGAUCGGACACAUUGGGACUGAGAUACGGCCCAGACUCCUACGGGAGGCAGCAGCUAAGAAUAUUCCACAAUGGACGAAAGUCUGAUGGAGCGACGCCGCGUGGAUGAUGAAGGCCGAAAGGUUGUAAAAUCCUUUUACACUGGAGGAAUAAGCAGAGUAGGGAAUGACUCUGUGAUGACUGUACAGUUUGAAUAAGCAACGGCUAAUUACGUGCCAGCAGCCGCGGUAACACGUAAGUUGCGAGCGUUGUUCGGAAUUAUUGGGCGUAAAGGGCAUGUAGGCGGAUUUGCAAGCUUGAUGUGAAAUCCCGCAGCUUAACUGCGGAACUGCAUUGGGAACUGCAAGACUAGAGUUACUGAGGGGAAACUAGAAUUCCAAGUGUAGGGGUGAAAUCUGUAGAUAUUUGGAAGAAUACCAAUGGCGAAGGCAAGUUUCUGGCAGAUAACUGACGCUGAGGUGCGAAGGUGCGGGGAGCAAACAGGAUUAGAUACCCUGGUAGUCCGCACAGUAAACGAUGUACACUAGGUGUUUGACCAUGAGGGUGAGUGCCAUAGCUAACGCAAUAAGUGUACCGCCUGGGAAGUAUGCCCGCAAGGGUGAAACUCAAAGGAAUUGACGGGGGCCCGCACAAGCGGUGGAGCAUGUGGUUUAAUUCGAUGGUACGCGAGGAACCUUACCUGGGUUUGACAUAUACUGGAAUGUUAUAGAGAUAUAGCAGCGUAGCAAUACGCCGGUAUACAGGUGCUGCAUGGCUGUCGUCAGCUCGUGCCGUGAGGUGUUGGGUUAAGUCCCGCAACGAGCGCAACCCCUACUGUCAGUUGCUAACAGAUAAUGCUGAGGACUCUGGCGGAACUGCCGGUGACAAACCGGAGGAAGGUGGGGAGGACGUCAAGUCAUCAUGGCCCUUAUGUCCAGGGCUACACACGUGCUACAAUGGUAGAAACAAAGCGAUGCUACACUGCAAAGUCACGCAAAACGCAAAAAAGCUAUCGUAGUUCGGAUUGGAGUGUGAAACUCGACUCCACGAAGUUGGAAUCGCUAGUAAUCGCGCAUCAGCACGGCGCGGUGAAUAAAAGGCCGGGCCUUGUACUCACCGCC